UACGAAGGGGGCUAGCGUUGCUCGGAAUGACUGGGCGUAAAGGGCGCGUAGGCGGCUCAUACAGUCAGAUGUGAAAUUCCUGGGCUUAACCUGGGGCCUGCAUUCGAUACGGGCAGACUAGAGUUCGGUAGGGGAGUCUGGAAUUCCCGGUGUAGCGGUGAAAUGCGCAGAUAUCGGGAGGAACACCAGUAGCGAAGGCGGCUCUCUGGGACGGUACUGACGCUGAGACGCGAAAGCGUGGAGAGCGAACAGG
rnacentral:rRNA from 1 species